UACGAAGGGGGCUAGCGUUGUUCGGAAUUACUGGGCGUAAAGCGCACGUAGGCGGACUACUAAGUCAGGGGUGAAAUCCCGGGGCUCAACCCCGGAACUGCCUUUGAUACUGAUAGUCUCGAGUCCGGAAGAGGUGAGUGGAAUUCCGAGUGUAGAGGUGAAAUUCGUAGAUAUUCGCAAGAACACCAGUGGCGAAGGCGGCUCACUGGCCCGAUACUGACGCUGAGGCACGAAAGCGUGGGGAGCAAACAGG
rnacentral:rRNA from 1 species